rnacentral:rRNA from 1 species
AUGGACAUACUGCCAUAUACAAUUUCAGAGGAAUGUAGAGCGACACAAACACUACAGAAAAAGAACAUAUAUGAAACAAGUAUGGGAUUGCAGCAAGUACAGAACAACCUGAAUAAGAAGGUUCUAGUCCAAAGGAAACCGCUUAAUGAUUCGUCCUUAGCCUUAGAUAACAUUAGUCAGCAAGAGCACUAUCCUCUACUUAUUCAGUCUGACAACAUAGUAGCUCAAAGCAAUCGCACUGAUGAGUCUGCUCAGAGGUCAAAUCCAAGCACAGAGCAAAUUCAUUCCCAUUUAAUCAGUGCACUUUCUCUGGCAGGAAAGAGAGCUCCUUCACAAUAUCUAUUGCAGGAGACUCCAGCUACUAAAAGGUGUGCACAAGUUGAAGGAGCUCAGAAAACACAACAGCAAUUCCACUCCAGUGAAAUUCACGAUUCACUGAUGCGGAACACUGUUAGAAUUGGAGAAGUUGGACGACAUGAAUCUGCAGAAGGAGACCAGAUCCAGUUCGGUGGUCAAAAUGAUAAAUUGCAGGGAGUAGGAGAAACUAUCCUAACUCUAUCCUCGGUCGCAAAAGAUCUACCUGUAGACACCAUUGCAGGAACAGAAGGGGAAAAGGCAGGAGCUAAUCAGGAGGUCACAAAUCUGGGAAGAGGAGAAACCAACACAACGACUAUAGCAAAGAAUCAGAUAGUUAGUGGUAAUCAGGGAGGAGAGCAUCGGCGUAGAGUUUCAGGCUGGGAUGUUCGGCCGACUAACGGAUCCGGAGAUUUUAACUCAGGAGAUUCAAGACUUCCUUUUGUUGGCUCUGGAGGUCCCAUUAGAAAUCGCCAUUAUUUAUCUAAGAAAAUAAUCAAUCAGAAUCGUAUGCGCAAAGAUAAUAGUUCUAUUAAGGAAAGAACUGGUAGUCCUUAUCCUUAUCGCUACAACAGAUCUCCUGCAAGAGUGGAAUCAAUAGGAGGAGAGGACUAUGAACCAUGUCCUAUUAGGACACCCUCACCAUCCUCUAGCACAGGCUCUCUGGGGUCCAGAUAUGGCGCUUUCUCCCCUCCUAUGACAGUUGAUGACAGAUAUAAGGGUAUGGAUGCUCAUGCUGACUAUGGGGGUGCUGAAGCUUCAACCAAAGUACAAGGUCAAGUUGGGGAAAGUAGCAAUGACAAUGGUUAUACAUUUCCAGUUCUGGAAACUCAUCCAGAAGGUGACAUGGAAGUUGAUGGGGCUAUGGCGCCAGCCCUUAAGGCGCCACGGGCGCCAUGA